rnacentral:rRNA from 1 species
CAGUCGCCACGGUAAUACGGAGGUGGCAAGCGUUGUCCGGAAUUAUUGGGCGUAAAGGGCUCGCAGGCGGUUUUUUAAGUCUGCUGUGAAAGCCCCCGGCUCAACCGGGGAGGGUCAUUGGAAACUGGGAAACUUGAGUGCAGAAGAGGAGAGUGGAAUUCCACGUGUAGCGGUGAAAUGCGUAGAGAUGUGGAGGAACACCAGUGGCGAAGGCGACUCGCUGGUCCGUAACUGACGCUGAGGAGCGAAAGCGUGGGGAGCGAACGGGAUUAGAUACCCGUGUAGUCCCUGUCUCUUAUAC